rnacentral:rRNA from 1 species
AAUGGGUCAGCGACUUAUAUUCUGUAGCAAGGUUAACCGAAUAGGGGAGCCGAAGGGAAACCGAGUCUUAACUGGGCGUUAAGUUGCAGGGUAUAGACCCGAAACCCGGUGAUCUAGCCAUGGGCAGGUUGAAGGUUGGGUAACACUAACUGGAGGACCGAACCGACUAAUGUUGAAAAAUUAGCGGAUGACUUGUGGCUGGGGGUGAAAGGCCAAUCAAACCGGGAGAUAGCUGGUUCUCCCCGAAAGCUAUUUAGGUAGCGCCUCGUGAAUUCAUCUCCGGGGGUAGAGCACUGUUUCGGCAAGGGGGUCAUCCCGACUUACCAACCCGAUGCAAACUGCGAAUACCGGAGAAUGUUAUCACGGGAGACACACGGCGGGUGCUAACGUCCGUCGUGAAGAGGGAAACAACCCAGACCGCCAGCUAAGGUCCCAAAGUCAUGGUUAAGUGGGAAACGAUGUGGGAAGGCCCAGACAGCCAGGAUGUUGGCUUAGAAGCAGCCAUCAUUUAAAGAAAGCGUAAUAGCUCACUGGUCGAGUCGGCCUGCGCGGAAGAUGUAACGGGGCUAAACCAUGCACCGAAGCUGCGGCAGCGACACUAAGUGUUGUUGGGUAGGGGAGCGUUCUGUAAGCCUGUGAAGGUGUACUGUGAGGUAUGCUGGAGGUAUCAGAAGUGCGAAUGCUGACAUAAGUAACGAUAAAGCGGGUGAAAAGCCCGCUCGCCGGAAGACCAAGGGUUCCUGUCCAACGUUAAUCGGGGCAGGGUGAGUCGACCCCUAAGGCGAGGCCGAAAGGCGUAGUCGAUGGGAAACAGGUUAAUAUUCCUGUACUUGGUGUUACUGCGAAGGGGGGACGGAGAAGGCUAUGUUGGCCGGGCGACGGUUGUCCCGGUUUAAGCGUGUAGGCUGGUUUUCCAGGCAAAUCCGGAAAAUCAAGGCUGAGGCGUGAUGACGAGGCACUACGGUGCUGAAGCAACAAAUGCCCUGCUUCCAGGAAAAGCCUCUAAGCAUCAGGUAACAUCAAAUCGUACCCCAAACCGACACAGGUGGUCAGGUAGAGAAUACCAAGGCGCUUGAGAGAACUCGGGUGAAGGAACUAGGCAAAAUGGUGCCGUAACUUCGGGAGAAGGCACGCUGAUAUGUAGGUGAAGCGACUUGCUCGUGGAGCUGAAAUCAGUCGAAGAUACCAGCUGGCUGCAACUGUUUAUUAAAAACACAGCACUGUGCAAACACGAAAGUGGACGUAUACGGUGUGACGCCUGCCCGGUGCCGGAAGGUUAAUUGAUGGGGUUAGCGCAAGCGAAGCUCUUGAUCGAAGCCCCGGUAAACGGCGGCCGUAACUAUAACGGUCCUAAGGUAGCGAAAUUCCUUGUCGGGUAAGUUCCGACCUGCACGAAUGGCGUAAUGAUGGCCAGGCUGUCUCCACCCGAGACUCAGUGAAAUUGAACUCGCUGUGAAGAUGCAGUGUACCCGCGGCAAGACGGAAAGACCCCGUGAACCUUUACUAUAGCUUGACACUGAACAUUGAGCCUUGAUGUGUAGGAUAGGUGGGAGGCUUUGAAGUGUGGACGCCAGUCUGCAUGGAGCCGACCUUGAAAUACCACCCUUUAAUGUUUGAUGUUCUAACGUUGGCCCCUGAUCGGGGUUGCGGACAGUGUCUGGUGGGUAGUUUGACUGGGGCGGUCUCCUCCUAAAGAGUAACGGAGGAGCACGAAGGUUGGCUAAUCCUGGUCGGACAUCAGGAGGUUAGUGCAAUGGCAUAAGCCAGCUUGACUGCGAGCGUGACGGCGCGAGCAGGUGCGAAAGCAGGUCAUAGUGAUCCGGUGGUUCUGAAUGGAAGGGCCAUCGCUCAACGGAUAAAAGGUACUCCGGGGAUAACAGGCUGAUACCGCCCAAGAGUUCAUAUCGACGGCGGUGUUUGGCACCUCGAUGUCGGCUCAUCACAUCCUGGGGCUGAAGUAGGUCCCAAGGGUAUGGCUGUUCGCCAUUUAAAGUGGUACGCGAGCUGGGUUUAGAACGUCGUGAGACAGUUCGGUCCCUAUCUGCCGUGGGCGCUGGAGAACUGAGGGGGGCUGCUCCUAGUACGAGAGGACCGGAGUGGACGCAUCACUGGUGUUCGGGUUGUCAUGCCAAUGGCACUGCCCGGUAGCUAAAUGCGGAAGAGAUAAGUGCUGAAAGCAUCUAAGCACGAAACUUGCCCCGAGAUGAGUUCUCCCUGACUCCUUGAGAGUCCUGAAGGAACGUUGAAGACGACGACGUUGAUAGGCCGGGUGUGUAAGCGCAGCGAUGCGUUGAGCUAACCGGUACUAAUGAACCGUGAGGCUUAACCUUACAACGC